UUCCUCAGAGCUCCGCGCCAGUCGCGCUGCAGUCGCUCUUUGGGAGCGUUUUAAUGUUUCCAUUUUUUGCUGAUUUUCCGUUCAUAUUUUAAUAUCUCUUCUAACCAGUGAUCGGGUUUGCGCUGAUAUCGCAGCAGAGAUGAAUCUGGAGUUGCUCGAGUCGUUCGGGCAGAAUUAUCCAGAGGAGGCGGAUGGCACUCUGGACUGCAUCAGUAUGGCUCUGACCUGCACGUUUAACCGCUGGGGGACGCUGCUCGCGGUCGGCUGCAACGACGGACGCAUCGUCAUCUGGGACUUUCUGACGCGAGGAAUCGCCAAAAUCAUCAGUGCACACAUACACCCCGUCUGCUCACUCAGGUAC